CCCUGCAGUUCUCGCUUGGUUUCCCACUGAAGCUAAGCAAGGUUGAGCCUGGCCAGUACCUACAUGGGAGACCUACUGGAGAAAACUAAGGUUGCUGCUGGAA
rnacentral:rRNA from 1 species